AUCCAGCUGACGAGCCCAAAAUAGGACGAAACGCGCGUCCUGGAU
rnacentral:hammerhead_ribozyme from 1 species